rfam:Xenopus laevis strain J chromosome 5S, whole genome shotgun sequence.
CCAAAGGCUCUUUUCAGAGCCACCAACCCACUCACUAAGCGCUGU